AAAACCAAAAUCCCGAAAAUUAACCCCAAAACCGAACUCCCCAAAACAAAAUGAAACAUUAAAACAUAUAAUCUGCCGUCUUCUUUGGGAACCCUAGCCCCCUUCUUUCUCAUUCUUCAAUUUGUUCAUACAAGCUCCGAUGCGCUCAUUCUGGUUGAGUAAAAGCUUAUACAAGCUCCUAUGGUCAAUUAGAAGGUCAUACAAGCUCCGAUUUGUUUUCUUUAGAGUUUCGAUUGUUCGAUUUGCUCAUACAAACUCAUAACACCUCCGGGAAUGUCAUUGUCUGGGUCUUUCUUGCAUAGAUUUGUUUCUUUGUGUCAAGGAUGUAUGUGUCUAAGAACUCAAUAUUUCAAUUAGCUUCUUUUUGUGUUAUUUUGGUUUGUUUACUUAGGUGGGUCAAUUUUUUCGAUGGGGUCAUGUGGGUGUAAGAGGGUCAAGUGGGUUUCGACCGAACUUUAGAGCUUGAAGUUCAAGUGGGUUUCAAUUAAAAUUUGGAGUUUUGGUUUGUGAUUGGAGUUUGGAUGUUUGGGUUUUGGUUAGUAGCGAGGUAACCAAAGUGAGUGUAGGAGUUGAUGUGUGCAUGGUUAAUGAAAGAGGCUUCUAUUUCAACUUUGCAGAAAUUCAGAAACCUCUCUAUGCUAAUAGGACUAAUUUAAAUAUGAAUGGGUCAUGUGCACAAGCUUUUAGUCACUUUGAAACGAGGAGGAUUGGAAUGCAGCUGCUCAACAUAGUGAUGAAUGAAGAUUUUUAGUCACUUUUUUUUUUACUUCUUCAUCUAUUCUUGCUUUUAGAUUGACUUUUGUAAGAAUGGUUUAUAAGUUGGUGCCUUAGUCUGGUUUCUAUGUAUCUUUCAACUCGAUGACUCGGUUUGUACUUUGUAUUUUCUUUUUGUCAAUUUCAAGUCAAGAAAAUUUCAUA